UAUAACUGCAGUAUUACCAAGGAAAAUAUGUGGAAAGAAUGUGAACUUAAGGACUUUAAGUUGGUUAAAAAGACAGAAGAAAAUGUAUUUCUGUUGGAAACAGACAGCAGCGCAAUCUUGGGAUGUGUUCACAAUCACACUUCAAUAUCUAUAUUUCCCUUUAUUUUGUCAAGAGACCAGGUGGAUUCCUUUAUCGUGGCAUUUACUAAACCAGAGAUGGUGAGUGGUGGGCCUGAUGUGGAAACAAAAACCAUUGUCACCAAGCGCCAAGAAGAAACAGUCGAUCUUAUAUGUAAUUUCAAAUUAACUGAUCAAUAUUCUAAAGGUUACAUUUGUGUGUACUGGAUUAAGAUCACAAAUGAAAGAAGUACAUGUAUUUAUUCAUUUUCUUUGGGCGAUUAUGGAGAACAAGAAUAUUACCGUCACUGUCCAGUUGAUGAAUCCCUGCAUAAAAGAAUGUCAAAUACUUCAUCUGCAAACAAAGAAAAUCAUUGUCUUAAAAUCAACCAAGUGACACAUUCAGACAGUGGACAGUAUGUGUGUGCCUUAUAUGUACAGGAAAAUGAGAACAAAUGGUAUGGAAAAGUGAUCUCUAAUAUCACGGUCACUGUAAAAGACAACAGCACCUCCACAAACCAGUCACAUGGUGAGUUACAGUCCACUUUCAACACUAAUGCAACAAAUGAUCAUGCUUAAGUAAUACUCUGUUGAUGUUGAUUCUAUAAGUUUUGUGUUUUAGAUAAGAAUAACCUCAUCAUACUGUAUGUAGUGAGAGCUCUAUUGCUCUUCUGCCUCUUUGCUACUGUCAUUGUCAUGAGGAAAAAGACCAAGAAAUCCCAAGAAAAUCAAAGUCUGGGAAUGAACAGAAACCAAGAUAGAGAGGAGACACUUGACUGUGAGUUGGCAUAUUCAUUCCAGUAUGGAGAGUUUUCCACCAUCUAAUCACACUGCUUUUUUUUUAAAGGGGAAUAUCGCAACAUUAACUUGAAACAUUAACUACAGAUAAUUCCUCAUCAUUUCG